UUCAAUCGCUCACAAUGCUCAAGUUGCUUUUGUUGUUGGGCAUUUAUGUUUUAUGAAGCUGUUGUUAGUAUUACAUUCCAUUUGGUAUGCACUUAAUUCAUAGUUCAUUUCACUUUUGGCAAAUGAGCAAGAAUUUUCACCAAAUAUGCAAAACAAAGAAAAACCUCAAACGAGAAUUUAAAUUAUUAAAUUUACACAAAAACCCAUGAAUCUUUAAUAUUUCAAUUUCUUCAUAGAACCAACAACACUGCACAGACACACUGCAUUUGCACUAUAUUUAUGUGAAUUUUGUUUCAUAUUUCGAUAGCAUUUUCCACAUAAACCAAUUAUUAUUCAAAUUUUUGGCAUUUUCAUUUAACUCUACAACAAUAACAAUCACCAUUGCAUUGCAUUUUGAAAUCAUGAACUCACGCUCACAUACAGAGAUGCAUGCGAAACGCCCUGUAGGAAAAUCGAGGCACCAAAAUUGGAUAUGUGAGUAGUGGUAUACCUAGGUGACUUGGUGAUUAGAACAACUAAUUUUUAUAGCCGUGAUUUCUAUUGAAAAAAUAUAUUGGUAGCUUAUUAUUUACUAAUUUUUAAUAAAGGGUUCCCAAGGCAAUCGUCUUGCUUACGGAUUGAAGCUAAGAAUGAAUUUGACCAAAGACAAAUCCUUCUGCGUUUAAGUGAUUUCAAAAGUACGCUCCUUGACGCAAGUAGUUAUUAACCGGUUUCUUAUCUUUGAGAAUCUGCUCCCAACAUGCUCUGUUUGACUUUCCAUAUAACCGCUAUGAUGAAUGUUUUUCACAAGUUCAGAAUUUUCCUAUAUGGAAGUGAGCUGCUUCAAUUCAACCUCACAAAUAGAUACACAAGAAAAAUUGACUUAACAAAAUCGAAAAAA